AAAAAGGCUCCCUUAGGGGCCAUUAAAUACACACUAAAAGAUAUAC
rfam:Mesocricetus auratus contig140726, whole genome shotgun sequence.